AGGCCGAUGAGGAAAACAAUUACAAAAAGAACACCAUCUUUCGGGACUGAAUGGCUUCAUAAAGCCCUGCUGUUAUUCUGCAGUUCUGAGGCCC